UCAGUAGUUCUUUUUACAGAGAUUUGUUUGUGUCUUCUUUCUUUUUUUCAGAUCCGGCUCCUGUGCUAGAGGCCUCACACACCCUGGAGGAAAGACUGCAGCAGCUUCAGAGUUCUGCCCCAGACAGUGAGGCCCUGGUUCGGGAGAUCAGUAGGCACUGGAGGAAACACCUGGAGUGCCUUGAAAAGACAGAGCCCACAGAGGACUGUCCUGCAGUCUCAGGGGCAGCGGUGGCACAGGACGCCUCAGAAUUCAGCUUGCCAAACUCCCUGAUGACCCCCAACAGCACACCGGCUCCCAGGGCCCCAGGCUCCCCACAGCAGAACCAUCAGGACCGAGCGGAGGACCGAGGGGAGGAGGAGGAGAGCGCUGAUAUUAGUUUGGCUGACAGACUGUCGGAGGCCA
rnacentral:lncRNA from 1 species